rnacentral:lncRNA from 1 species
GCCAGUCCGGGAACCCCGGGCCGGACGGCAGCCCGAGGGCCAGAACGGCGCGGAGGUCGGGCGGGAAGGUGAACCCCAUNNNNNNNNNNNNNNNNNNNNNNNNNNNNNNNNNNNNNNNNNNNNNNNNNNNNNNNNNNNNNNNNNNNNNNNNNNNNNNNNNNNNNNNNNNNNNNNNNNNNUGGAUACAUAGACAAAACACCGUCCCUAGUAAGCCUCUAGUUGGCUAGCCAGUUGAUCAAAGAUAGUCAGUGUCUUCUGAUUAUGAACAAGGUGUUGUUGCUUGAUAACUGGAUCACGUCAUUAGGAGAAUCACGUGAUGGACUAGACCCAAACUAAUAGACGUAGCAUGUUGAUCGUGUCAUUUUGUUGCUACUGUUUUCUGCGUGUCAAGUAUUUAUUCCUAUGACCAUGAGAUCAUAUAACUCACUGACACCGGAGGAAUGCUUUGUGUGUAUCAAACGUCGCAACGUAACUGGGUGACUAUAAAGAUGCUCUACAGGUAUCUCCGAAGGUGUUAGUUGAGUUAGUAUGGAUCAAGACUGGGAUUUGUCACUCCGUGUGACGGAGAGGUAUCUCGGGGCCCACUCGGUAAUACAACAUCACACACAAGCCUUGCAAGCAAUGUAACUUAGUGUAAGUUGCGGGAUCUUGUAUUAUGGAACGAGUAAAGAGACUUGCCGGUAAACAAGAUUGAAAUAGGUAUGCGGAUACUGACGAUCGAAUCUCGGGCAAGUAACAUACCGAAGGACAAAGGGAAUGACAUACGGGAUUAUACGAAUCCUUGGCACUGAGGUUCAAACGAUAAGAUCUUCAUAGAGUAUGUAGGAUCCAAUAUGGGCAUCCAGGUCCCGCUAUUGGAUAUUGACCGAGGAGUCUCUCGAGUCAUGUCUACAUAGUUCUCGAACCCGCAGGGUCUGCACACUUAAGUUCGACGUUGUUUUAUGCGUAUUAGAGUUAUAUGGUUGGUUACCGAAUGUUGUUCGGAGUCCCGGAUGAGAUCACGAACGUCAUGAGGGUUUCCGGAAUGGUCCGGAAACGAAGAUUGAUAUAUAGGAUGACCUCAUUUGAUUACCGGAAGGUUUUCGGAGUUACCGGGAAUGUACCGGGAAUGACGAAUGGGUUCCGGGAGUUCACCGGGGGGCAACCCACCCCGGGGAAGCCCAUAGGCCUUUGGGGAGACACACCAGCCCUUAGUGGGCUGGUGGGACAGCCCACAAGUGCCCUAUGCGCCAAGGAGAAGAAAAUCAAGAGAGAAAAAAAAGGAGGAGGUGGGAAGGAAGGGGGACUCCCUCCCACCAAACCUAGUCCAACUCGGUUUGGGGGGGAGAGUCCUCCCCCUUGGACUCGGCCGACCCCGCCCCCUCCCUCCCACCUAUAUAUACGGAGGUUUUAGGGCUGAUUUGAGACGAUUUUUCCACGGCAGCCCGACCACAUACCUCCACGGUUUUUCCUCUAGAUCGCGUUUCUGCGGAGCUCGGGCGGAGCCCUGCUGAGACAAGGUCAUCACCAACCUCCGGAGCGCCGUCACGCUGCCGGAGAAAUCUUCUACCUCUCUGUCUCUCUUGCUGGAUCAAGAAGGCCGAGUCAUCGUCGAGCUGUACGUGUGCUGAACGCGGAGGUGCCGUCCGUUCGGUACUAGAUCGUGGGACUGAUCGCGGGAUUGUUCGCGGGGCGGAUCGAGGGACGUGAGGACGUUCCACUACAUCAACCGCGUUCUCUAACGCUUCUGCUGUACGGUCUACAAGGGUACGUAGAUCACUCAUCCCCUCUCGUAGAUGGACAUCACCAUGAUAGGUCUUCGUGCGCGUAGGAAUUUUUUUGUUUCCCAUGCGACGUUCCCCAACAUUGGGGAGUAGUAAAUAGAUGAUGGGUUACUAGACUGACAAAAGCUUAAACCCCAGUCUAUGCGUUGCUUCGUAAGGGGCUGAUUUGGAUCCACUAGUUUAAUGCUAUGGUUAGACUUGUCUUAAUUCUUCUUUCAUAGUUGCGGAUGCUUGCAAGAGGGAAUAAUCAUAAGUGGGAUGCUUGUCCAAGUAAGGGAAGCACCCAAGCGUCGGUCCACCCACGUAUCAAACUAUCAAAGUAACGAACGCGAAUCAUAUGAACAUGAUGAAACUAGCAUGACAGAAAUUCCCGUGUGUCCUCGGAAGCGUUUUUCCUCCUAUAAGACUUUGUUCAGGCUUGUCCCUUGCUACAAAAGGGAUUGGGCCAAUUUUCUGCACCGUUGCUACUCUUGUUACUUGUUACUUUUCACCUGCUAAGUUUCACCUCACUACACCAUCACUCGUUACCGCUACUUUCAGUGCUUGCAGUUAUUACAUUGCUGAAAACCAUUUAUUAGAGUCUUCUGCUCCUCGUUGGGUUCGACACUCUUACUUAUCGAAAGGACUACGAUUGAUCCCCUAUACUUGUGGGUCAUCAGUAUGAUACCCCUCUUCUUUGCUACCUCUAUCGAUGUGUACACUUUGGCUUGCUGGCUCGAGAGUUGGUGGGCACUUGUGGAGGAGCUUGGGGUCCGGAGGAAACCCUAGCCGGCCUGGAUGGCCCGGAGGCAACGAUGCCCAAGGGCACCCUUUCUUCCAUGGGCGAUGCCGAGGUCCACAACUAUCCACCUCAACCUCCUUCCCGGGUGAAAGCCCACCUUUUGCUUUGGAUUUGGUGGCAGUGGUGCCUUGCGCGUCGUUACCUCCCUCGAGGUGUCAUCACAGGUGAAGUGGCUCGGAUGGGAGGAUUUGCAGGCGCGGGGUUGAUGUCGUUUGUGUUUUGAGCUUGUGUGGAUGUGGUGUGGGUGGUAUGGACCAACAUCUCUUUUGGAUGGUGAUCUCCGAUGGCGAUGGACGACAAUCGGUCCUCGCGGUGUGGCGUAUCGAUCGUGACUGAAGGGGAUAGGGUUCCCCUUCCCGAUAGCCUAGCAUGAUGUAAAGUGGAGUGUCUAUGUCUACACAAUGUUGGUGUUCUCACUCCUUGUCUCUCGCAUCUUUGCUCGGUUCUAUGCUGCCUCCUCUUCUGCGUCCACGUCCAUGAAGUUUUCCUUCUCCAACUAGUUUGACGUGGACCGUGGUAAUCCUACAGGCAUGGAAUGUCCCAAAUUGAGGUGGUUUCACUAUGUCCACCUUGCGAUGUGAGGAUGACAUUCUUCUAGAUCUUGGGUGAGAUUAUAUGAAUCCCGAUGGUACGACGCCUAUGAGCCUUGGUGAGGGGGUAGGGUCCCUCUUUUGUGAUAAAGAAGGAAGAUGUUGUGUUUGUUGGGGAACGUCGCAUGGGAAACAAAAAUUUUCCUACGCGCACGAAGACCUAUCAUGGUGAUGUCCAUCUACGAGAGGGGAUAUUGGAUCUACGUACCCUUGUAGAUCGCACAGCAGAAGCGUUAGUGAACGCGGUUGAUGUAGUGGAACGUCCUCACGUCCCUCGAUCCGCCCCGCGAACCGUCCCGUGAUCAGUCCCACGAUCUAGUGCCGAACGGACGGCACCUCCGCGUUCAGCACACGUACAGCUCGACGAUGAUCUCGGCCUUCUUGAUCCAGCAAGAGAGACAGAGAGGUAGAUGAGUUCUCUGGCAGCAUGACGGCGCUCCGGAGGUUGGUGAUGAUCUUAUCUCAGCAGGGCUCCGCCCGAGCUCCGCAGAAACACGAUCUAGAGGUAAAACCGUGGAGAUAUGUGGUCGGGCUGCCGUGGCAAAAGUUGUCACAAAUCAGCCCUAAAACCUCCGUAUAUAUAGGGGGGAAGAGGGCGAGCCUUGCCUUGGGGUCCAAGGACCCCCAAGGGGGUCGGCCGAGCCAAGGGGGGAAGGUCUCCCCUUCCAAACCGAAUCCAACUUGGUUUGGAAGGUGGAGUCCUUCUUCCCUUCCCACCUCCUCCUUUUUUUUUCUUUUCUCUUUGAUUUUCUUCCUAUGGCGCAUAGGGCCUUCUUGGGCUGUCCCACCAGCCCACUAAGGGCUGGUGCGCCACCCCAAGGCCUAUGGGCUUCCCCGAGGUCGGGUUGCCCCCCCCCCCCGGUGAACACCCGGAACCCAUUCGUCAUUCCCGGUACAUUCCCGGUAACUCCGAAAACCUUCCGGUAAUCAAAUGAGGUCAUCCUAUAUAUCAAUCUUCGUUUUCGGACCAUUCCGGAAACCCUCGUGACGUCCGUGAUCUCAUCCAGGACUCUGAACAUCAUUCGGUAACCAACCAUAUAUAACUCAAAUACGCAUAAAACAACGUCGAACCUUAAGUGUGCAGACCCUGCGGGUUCGAGAACUAUGUAGACAUGACCCGAGUGACUCCUCGGUCAAUAUCCAAUAGCGGGACCUGGAUGCCCAUAUUGGAUCCUACAUAUUCUACGAAGAUCUUAUCGUUUGAACCUCAGUGCCAAGGAUUCAUAUAAUCCCGUAUGUCAUUCCCUUUGUCCUUCGGUAUGUUACUUGCCCGAGAUUCGAUUGUCAGUAUCCGCAUACCUAUUUCAAUCUCGUUUACCGGCAAGUCUCUUUACUCAUUUCGUAAUACAAGAUCCCCCAACUUACACUAAGUCACAUUGCUUGAAAGGCUUGUGUGUGAUGUUGUAUUACCGAGUGGGCCCCGAGAUACCUCUCCGUCACACGGAGUGACAAAUCCGAGUCUCGAUCCAUACUAACUCAACGAACACCUUCGGAGAUACCUGUAGAGCAUCUUUAUAGUCACCCAGUUACGUUGCAAGGUUUGAUACACACAAAGCAUUCCUCCGGUGUGAGUGAGUUAUAUGAUCUCAUGGUCACAGGAACAAAUACUUGACACGCAGAAAAUAGUAGCAACAAAAUGACACGAUCAAUAUGCUAUGUCUAUUAGUUUGGGUCUAGUCCAUCAAAUGAUUCUCCUAAUGAUGUGAUCCCGUUAUCAAGUGACAACACUUGCCUAUGGUCAGGAAACCUUGACCAUCUUUGAUCAACGAGCUAGUCAACUAGAGGCUUACUAGGGACAGUGUUUUGUCUAUGUAUCCACACAUGCACUGUGUUUCCAAUCAAUACAAUUAUAGCAUGGAUAAUAAACGAUUAUCAUGAACAAAGAAAUAUAAUAAUAACUAAUUUAUUAUUGCCUCUAGGGCAUAUUUCCAACAGUCUCCCACUUGCACUAGAGUCAAUAAUCUAGUUCACAUCACCAUGUGAUUUCAACGAAUCCAACACCCAUAUAGUUCUGGGGUCUGAUCACGUCUUGCUCGUGAGAGAGGUUUUAGUCAACGGUUCUGAAACUUUCAGAUCCGUGCGUUCUUUACAAAUCUUUAUGUCAUCUUAUAGAUGCUGCUACUACGUGCUAUUCGGAAAUGCUCCAAAUAUCUAUUCUACUAUACGAAUCCGUUUCACUACUCAUAGUUAUUCGGAUUAGUGUCAAAGCUUGCAUCGACGUAACCCUUUAUGACGAACUCUUUAACCACCUCCAUAAUCGAGAAAAAAUUCCUUAGUCUAUUUAGUUACUAAGGAUAACUUUGACCGCUGAUCAGUGAUUCAAUCCUGGAUCACUCUGUGUACCUCUUAACAGACUUGCUGCAAGUCACACAUCAGGUGCGGUACUCAGCAUGGCAUACUUUAGAGUCUACGGCUAAGGCAUAGAAGAUGACCUUCGUCUAUUCUCUUUAUUCUGCCGUGGUCGGGUUUUGAGUCUUACUCAAAUUCACACCUUACAACGCAACCAAGAACUCCUUCUUUGCUGAUCUAUUUUGAACUCCUUCAAAAACUUGUCAAGGCAUGCAUCUUGUUGACACUUCCAUUAAGUGCUUUUGAUCUAUCUCCAUAGAUCUUUGAUGCUCAACGUUCAAGUAGCGCAAUCCAGGUAUUCCUUUGAAAAACUCCUUUCAAACAACCUUUUAUGCUUCAUAGAAAUUCUACAUUACUUCUGAUCAACAAUAUGUCAACCACAUAUACUUAUCAGAAAUUCUAUAGUGCUCCCACUCACUUCUUUGGAAAUACAAGUUUCUCAUAAACCUUGUACAAACCCAAAAUCUUUGAUCAUCUCAUCAAAGUGUAUAUUCCAACUCCGAGAUGCUUGCACCAGUCCAUUGAAGGAUCGCUGGAGCUUGCAUACUUGUUAGUAUCUUUAGGAUCGACAAAACCUCCUGGUUGUAUCACAUACAAUGUUUGCUCAAGGAAACUGUCGAGGAAACAAUGUUUUGACAUCCUACGUGCAAUAUUUCAUAAAUAAUGCAGCAACUACUAACAUAAUUCUAACAGACUUUUAGCAUCGCUACGAGUGAGAAAGUCUCAUCAUAGUCGACUGUUUGAUCUUGUCGGAAACAUCUUUGCGACAAGUCGAGCUUUUCUUAAUAGUGACUUAUCACCAUCAUCGUCUGUCUUCCUUUUAAAGAUCCAUCUUUACUCAAUAGUCUUACUACCAUCAAGUAGUUCUUCCAAAGUCUACACUUUGUUUUCAUACAUGGAUCCUCUAUCGGAUUUCAUGGCCUCCAGCCAUUUGUCGGAACCCGGGCCCACCAUUGCUUUCUUCAUAACUCGUAGGUUAACUUUUGCUCAACAAGAUGACCUCCAAGACAGGGUUACCGUACCACUCUACAGUAGUACGCGACCUUGUCAACCUACGAGGUUUGUAGUAACUUGAUCCGAUGCUCGAUGAUCACCAUCAUCAGCUUUCACUUCAAUUGGUGUAGGCGCCACAGGAACAACUUCCUGCGCCCUGCUACACACUGGUUGAAGUGAUGGUUCAAUAACCUCAUCAAGCUCUACCACCCUCCCACUCAAUUCUUUUGAGAGAAACCUUUCCUCGAGAAAGGAUCUGUUUCUAGAAACAAACACUUUGCUUUCGGAUCUGAGAUAGGAGAUGUACCCAACUGUUUUGGAUAUCCUAUGAAGAUGCAUUUAUCCGCUUUGGGUUCGAGCUUAUCAGACUGAAACUUUUUCACAUAAGUGUCGAAGCCCCAAACUUUCAAGGAACGACAGUUUAGAUUUCUCUAAAACUCAGUAUAUACUGUGUCAUCUCAACGGAAAUAUGCGGUGCCCUAUUUAAAGUGAAUGCGGUUGUCUCUAAUGCAUAACCCAUAAACAAUAAUGGUAAUUCGACAAGAGACAUCAUAGCAUGCACCAUACCGAAUAGUGUGUGGCUAUGACGUUCAAACACAUCAUCACACUAUGAUGUUCCAGGUGGCAUGGACUGCGAAACAAUUUCCACAUUGUCUUAACUGCGUACCAAAACUCGUAACUCAGAUAUUCAUUUCUAUGAUCAUAUCCUAGACAGUUUAUCCUUUUGUUACGACGAACUUCACUCUGAAACAGAAUUGAACUUUUCAAUAUUUCAGACUUGUGAUUCAUUAAGCAAAUACUCUUGUAUCUGCUCAAAUCUUCAUUGAAGUAAGAACAUCAUGAUAUCCAGUGCGUGCCUCAGCACCCAUUGGACUGUAUACAUCAAAAUGUAUCACUGCCAACAAGUUACUAUCUUGUUUCAUCUCAAUGAAAAACAAGGCCUUGCUCAUGUGGUAUGAUUUGCAUGUCACUAGUGAUUCAAAAUCAAGUGAGUAUAAAGAUCCAUCAGCAUGAAGCCUCUUCAUGCAAUUUAUACCAACAUGACUCAAGCGGCAGUGCCACAAGUAAGUGGUACUAUCAUCAUUACCUCGUGUCUUUUGGCACCAAUAUCAUGAACAUGUGUAACACUACGAUCGAGAUUCAAUAAACCAUUGAAGGUGAUUAUUCAAGCAAAUAGAGUAACCAUUAUUCUCUUUAAAUGAAUAAUCGUAUUGCAAUAAACACGAUCCAAUCAUGUUCAUGCUUAACGCAAGCACCAAAUAACAAUUAUUUAGGUUUAACACCAAUCUCGAUGGUAGAGGGAGCGUGCGACGUUUUGAUCAUAUCAAUCUUGGAAACACUUCCAACACGUAUCAUCACCUCGCCUUUAGCUAGUCUCCGUUUAUGCCGUAGCUAUCAUUUCGUGUUGCUAAUCACUUAGCAACCGAACCGGUAUCCAAUACCCUCAUGCUACUAGGAGUACUAAUAAAGUACACAUCAUGUAUAUCAAAUAUACUUCUUUCGACUUUUGCCAGCCUACUUAUCUACCAAGUAUCUAGAGUUGCUCCGCCUCAGUGACUGUUCCCCUCAUUACAGAAGCACUUAGUCCCAGGUUUGGGUUUAAUCUUGGGUCUCUUCAUUAGUGCAGCAAUUGUUUUGCCGUUUCACGAAGUAUCCCUUCUAGCCCUUGCCUUUCUCGAAACUUAGUGGUUUUACUAACCAUCAACUAUUGACGCUCCUUCUUGAUUUCUACUUUCGCAGUGUCAAACAUCGCGAAUCACUCAAAGAUCAUUGUAUCUAUCCUUGAUAUGUUAUAGUUCAUGACGAAGCUCUCACAGCUUGGUGGCAGUGACUUUGGAGAACUAUCACUAUCUCAUCUGGAAGAUUAACCCCCACUUGAUUCAAGCGAUUGUCGUACUCAGACAAUCUGAGCACACACUCAACGAUUGAGCUUUUCUCCUUUACUUUGUGGACAAAGAAUCUUGUUAGAGGUCUUGUACCUCUUAACAAGGGCACGAGCAUGAAACACAAUUUCAUCUCUUUAGAACAUCACUUAUGUUCCGUGACGUUUCAAAACGUCUUCGGCGCCUUGCUUCUAAGCCAUUAAGUAUUUUGCACUGAACUAUCGUGUAGUCAUCAGAAACGUGUAUGUCGGAUGUUCACAGCAUCCACAGACGACGCUCGAGGUGCAGCACACUGAGUGGUGCAUUAAGGACGUAAGCCUUCUGCGCAGCAACGAGGACAAUCCUCUUCAAAGUUUGCUACUAUCAACUUUCAACUAAAUUUUCUCUAGGAACAUAUAAAAACAGUAGAGCUAUAGCGCAAGCUACAUUGUAAUUCGUAAAGACCAUUAGACUAUGUUCAUGACAAUUAGUUCAAUUAAUCAUAUUACUUAAGAACUCCCACUCAAAAAGUACAUCUCUCUAGUCAUUUGAGUGGUACAUGAUCCAAAUCCACUAUCUCAAUUCCGAUCAUCACGUGAGUCGAGAAUAGUUUCAGUGGUAAGCAUCUCUAUGCUAAUCAUAUCAACUAUACAAUUCAUGCUCGACCUUUCGGUCUCAUGUGUUCCAAGGCCAUGUCUGCACAUGCUAGGCUCGUCAAGCUUAACCCGAGUGUUCCGCGUGUGCAACUGUUUUGCACCCGUUGUAUGUGAACGUUGAGUCUAUCACACCCGGUCAUCACGUGGUGUCUCGAAACGAAGAAUUGUCGCAACGGUGCACAGUCGGGGAGAACACAAUUUCGUCUUGAAAUUUUAGUGAGAGAUCACCUCAUAAUGCUACCGUCGUUCUAAGCAAGAUAAGGUGCAUAAAGGAUUAACAUCACAUGCAAUUCAUAAGUGACAUGAUAUGGCCAUCAUCAUGUGCUUCUUGAUCUCCAUCACCAAAGCACCGGCACGAUCUUCUUGUCACCGGCGUCAUACCAUGAUCUCCAUCAACGUGUCGCCAUCGGGGUUGUCGUGCUACUCAUGCUAUUACUACUAAAGCUAUGUCCUAGCAAAAUAGUAAACGCAUCUGCAAGCACAAACGUUAGUAUAAAGACAACCCUAUGGCUCCUGCCGGUUGCCGUACCAUCGACGUGCAAGUCGAUAUUUCUAUUACAACAUGAUCAUCUCAUACAUCCAAUAUAUCACAUCACAUCGUUGGCCAUAUCACAUCACAAUCAUACCUUGCAAAAACAAGUUAGACGUCCUCUAAUUUUGUUGUUGCAUGUUUUACGUGGUGACCAUGGGUAUCUAGUAGGAUCGCAUCUUACUUACGUAAACACCACAACGGAGAUAUAUGAGUUGCUAUUUAACCUCAUCCAAGGACCUCCUCGGUCAAAUCCGAUUCAACUAAAGUUGGAGAAACCGACACUUGCCAGUCAUCUUUGAGCAAAGGGGGUUACUCGUAACGAUGAAACCAGUCUCUCGUAAGUGUACGAGUAAUGUCGGUCCAAGCCGCUUCGAUCCAACAAUACCACGGAAUCAAGAAAAGACUAAGGAGGGCAGCAAAACGCACAUCACCGCCCACAAAAACUUUUGUGUUCUACUCGAGAAGACAUCUACGCAUGAACCUAGCUCAUGAUGCCACUGUUGGGGAACGUCGCAUGGGAAACAAAAAUUUUCCUACGCGCACGAAGACCUAUCAUGGUGAUGUCCAUCUACGAGAGGGGAUAUUGGAUCUACGUACCCUUGUAGAUCGCACAGCAGAAGCGUUAGUGAACGCGGUUGAUGUAGUGGAACGUCCUCACGUCCCUCGAUCCGCCCCGCGAACCGUCCCGCGAUCAGUCCCACCAUCUAGUGCCGAACGGACGGCACCUCCGCGUUCAGCACACGUACAGCUCGACGAUGAUCUCAGCCUUCUUGAUCCAGCAAGAGAGACGGAGAGGUAGAUGAGUUCUCCGGCAGCGUGACGGCGCUCCGGAGGUUGGUGAUGAUCUUAUCUCAGCAGGGCUCCGCCCGAGCUCCGCAGAAACGUGAUCUAGAGGUAAAACCAUGGAGAUAUGUGGUCGGGCUGCCGUGGCAAAAGUUGUCACAAAUCAGCCCUAAAACCUCCGUAUAUAUAGGGGGAAGAGGGGGAGCCUUGCCUUGGGGUCCAAGGACCCCCAAGGGGGUCGGCCGAGCCAAGGGGGGAAGGUCUCCCCUUCCAAACCGAAUCCAACUUGGUUUGAAAGUUGGAGUCCUUCUUCCCUUUCCCACCUCCUCCUUUUUUUUCUCUUUGAUUUUCUUCCUAUGGCGCAUAGGGCCUUCUUGGGCUAUCCCACCAGCCCACUAAGGGCUAGUGCGCCACCCCCAAGGCCUAUGGGCUUCCCCGAGGUCGGGUUGCCCCCCCCCCGAUUUACACCCGGAACCCAUUCGUCAUUCCCGAUACAUUCCCGGUAACUCCGAAAACCUUCUGGUAAUCAAAUGAGGUCAUCCUAUAUAUCAAUCUUCGUUUCCGGACCAUUUAGGAAACCCUCGUGAUGUCCGUGAUCUCAUCCGGACUCCGAACAUCAUUCGGUAACCAACCAUAUAUAACUCAAAUACGCAUAAAACAACGGCGAACCUUAAGUGUGCAGACCCUGCGGGUUCGAGAACUAUGUAGACAUGACCCGAGUGACUCCUCGGUCAAUAUCCAAUAGUGGUACCUGGAUGCCCAUAUUGGAUCCUACAUAUUCUACGAAGAUCUUAUCAUUUGAACCUCAGUGCCAAGGAUUCAUAUAAUCCCGUAUGUCAUUCCCUUUGUCCUUCGGUAUGUUACUUGCGCGAGAUUCGAUCGUUAGUAUCCGCAUACCUAUUUCAAUCUCGUUUACCGGCAAGUCUCUUUACUCGUUCCGUAAUACAAGAUCCCGCAACUUACACUAAGUCACAUUGCUUGCAAGGCUUGUGUGUGAUGUUGUAUUACCGAGUGGGCCCCGAGAUACCUCUCCGUCACACGGAGUGACAAAUCCCAGUCUCGAUCCAUAGUAACUCAACGAACACCUUCGGAGAUACCUGUAGAGCAUCUUUAUAGUCACCCAGUUACGUUGCGGCGUUUGAUACACACAAAGCAUUCCUCCGGUGUCAGUGAGUUAUAUGAUCUCAUGGUCAUAGGAACAAAUACUUGACACGCAGAAAACAGUAGCAACAAAAUGACACGAUCAAUAUGCUACGUCUAUUAGUUUGGGUCUAGUCCAUCACAUGAUUCUCCUAAUGAUGUGAUCCCGUUAUCAAGUGACAACACUUGCCUAUGGUCAGGAAACCUUGACCAUCUUUGAUCAACGAGCUAGUCAACUAGAGGCUUACUAGGGACAGUGUUUUGUCUAUGUAUCCACACAUGCAGUGUGUUUCCAAUCAAUAGAAUUAUAGCAUGGAUAAUAAACGAUUAUCAUGAACAAAGAAAGAUAAUAAUAACUAAUAUAUUAUUGCCUCUAGGGCAUAUUUCCAACAGUGUUUCCCUCCUUCCCUAGGUGCUCCUGGAGCAAUGCCCAUCUUCGACGGUCGCCUAUGUCCUGCUCCGCUGCUCCGUCCUUGAUUUGCUUCAUCCUAGUGUGGAGUGCUCGCCUUUACCAAGUGAGAACCCACAAGUAUUGGGGAUCAGUUGUAGUCCUUUAGAUAAGUAAGAAUGUUGAACCCAAUGAGGAGCAGAAAUAAUUUAUAGGCGGUUUUCAACCAGGUAUUCUUUGUGAGUGUUGUAGAUAGUUUGAUAGCAAGAUAAUUGACAACAAUUAACAAAAGUAACAAGCUGCGACAAGUGACCUAAUACUUAAAUAUGCUAAGGACAAGUCGGUGAUACUUCUUAUAGUAUUUAAAAUGCUCUUGAGGACACACGAGAAUAUCUUCAAGUUGCUUUCACCAUGAUUCAUUGAUUUCAAAUCCAUUGCCUUUAUAAGUGGGUGGACCAGAUACCAUUACUAGAUACCAUUACUAUCACUGCUAUGCUAGUUGUUUUGAUUUUAUCGCUGUGUCUUGCUGCCUACCACCUGUUAAAUGUCAGCCUCCCAACAUUGCCAUGAAAAGCUCCAACCUUUUCCACAACCCAGCAAACCACUGUUUGGCUAUGUUACCGCUUGCCCAGCCUUUGUUGCUAGUUGCAGGUGCACUUGCUUCCAUGUGAAAACAUAGGUUCCUUGUAUAUCACCAUAUUAUUGCUAAUUAAUUUAAUGCACCUAUAUACUUGGUAAAAGGUGGAAGGCUCGACCUUUCUAACCUGGUGUUUUGUUCCACCUUUGUCGCCUUAGUUUCGGCUACCGGUGCUAUGUUUCAUAAAUGAGCGCUUCUAACAUGCUUGGGGUUGUUAUGGAGACCUCCUUGACUUUUGUUUUGGGACAAAGCUCGUCUCGCAAAGCCCAACAUUGGUAAUAUAUUUGCCCAACAUAAUAAUUCUGUUAAUAAUGAAAACAUAGGGCGUCAUGAACCCGAGGAGUAAUUCACAUAAUACAGGGAGGGCCAGUGCUGAUGGUGCUGGUCCAAAACAGAACCACUUGCGGGGCCACCCUGUGCAACUCGAGGGAUGUAUAUCCGGUCACCGUACAUAGUGCUCAUCCGUCGUCUCCUGAGAACGAGAUACGCGGCUCCUAUCGGGAUCGUCGACACGCCGGGUGGCCUUGCUGGACUUGUUUUACCUUUAUCAAGCGUCUUCUGCGAGGGAUUUCGAGGAUGCUUUGGGCUAUCUCGAGGUUGAGGUUUUCCUAUAGGAACCCGAGGAGAUCACGAGUUUUCCCUUAUCGAGGUCAUUCCGUUGCAGCGUGUGGUAGUUUGUGAUGGACUAGUUGGAACAUCCCUACAGGGUUAAAUCUUUCGGAAAGUCGUGCCCGCGGUUAUGUGGCAACGUGAAAACUUUGUUUAACAUACGAUUCUAGAUAACUUGAAGUUAACUUAACUAAAACUUGCCAACUGAGUGCGUAACCGUGACUAACUCUUUCGUGAGCUCCUUCUUCGAUCGAGGACACGGUGGGGUUAUGUAUGACGUAAUUAGGUGUUCAGGAUCAUUCAGUUGAUCAUUAAUAGUCACGUUCACUAUGUGUAGAUCAUCCCCCUCUUUUAUUCUUGUACUCGUAAGUUAGUCACCUCAAAUAAAUGUUAAUCGCUUGCUGCAGCUUCACCACUUAACCACAACUCAGCCAUUAAGUUAUGUUAGUCUUGAUAUCUUUGGAAAUGAGAUUGUUGGGUCCCAUGUGGCUCGCAGAUUAGUACAACACGAGUUGCAGGUACAGGUAAAGAGUUAGUAUGACGUGAGCGCGAUGAUUGUGCUAUUUAGAGUUUCUUUUUCUUCAUCAUCAUCGAUCUAGGAUGGGUUAGAGGCCGGCAACCUGGGAUAGCAAGGAUGAACGUCGUUCUUUCAUCGUUUGUUUUUCGUCCGUAGUCGGACCAUGCUCUUCUUCAUGAUGGCUAAUUAUGUCGUUGUAUUAAUGUGACUCUGAUGUAGCUUUUGUCGAGUGUAAGUCAAUUCCAUAUACUGAUCUAUUAUGUACAUGUACUUGUAACGAUAUCCAUUCUUGCGAAACGACGAGAUGCACUUCUAUCCGUGUCGAGGCUCUCACGCCAAAAUAAAGAUAGGAUCGCAUCUUAGUCGUUACAUUCAACCUCAAUCUAUUAGUUAGUAAGCCUCAUGUUAUAAAAAAACAUCGAGACAUACCUCGAUGCGGACAACCAAACGAGAUACAUAUGUUGUUUUUUCUUUCGAUUUCCUUCAACCAGGCUCCACUCAACAACAUAUGCAAUACACACACCAUUCACGGGAGGCAACCAAACACGUCCUUCGCUAUUUGAUACAUCAAUCUUCUUCUUUGAGAAAUUGAACAACCCUUACCUGGGUACCGCACCCCUGUCAUAAUCCAGAUUCAAAUGCCCGAGGCAUUACCUUAACAAAAGCGAUAGUUUUUAGGAAGAAAAAAAAAACAGAGACAAAAUGUUAGUUCUGUGGGACAUUUUGAUAAAUGAUAGUUCUAGGAACACUGUGGUAGUUUUUGUUAAACACUCAGCGUGCACCACUAAAAUAGCAGAGCUCCUGUUUUGUUCGCAAAAGAAACAGAGCAAACGAUCCAGUCGCAUGGUCUGUCCAAUCUCGUUAACCGGUAAAUCUGGCCGUAAAAAAGUAAACAAGAACGCUAACACAGACCACCAGUACUACUAGAUCACAGUGUAGGCUGCUUGCCUGACACCGAUCAGCGUCUCCUCUUGCUCAUUUUUUUCUGGUCUGCCUUGUAGCGCCCCGCACGCUGGAGCCAUCGCUGUGGGCGGCCCCACGCAACACCCAGCGGCAGGACCUCAGAUCUCCAAAGUGGGGCCCCGGCCCAUGGCCGCUGGGCCCAGGCUUGUCCUCCACCCUCCACACACCCCCACGGCCACGGCCCGCUUCCCUUCCCGCUAUAUAGCCUACUCCGUCACCACCGUGUCCGUCCGUCUCCUUCACUCGCAGCCGUUUCCUCUCUGCCUUGCCAAGCUGAGCUCCCCGCUUCCAAACGCCAAAACGCACGGGGGAAAGCAUCCGCCGUUCGCCGUCGCCGGGGAGGUUCGGGCCGUCGCGAUGGUGGAUGUGGAGCACCGGAUGGCGGGCAUGGCCCCGGCGGCGCACGCGGCCGGCCUGCGCCGCCUGUCCACGCGCGCCGCGGCCGGCCCUUCCUCGGCGUCCGCGUCCCCGCGCCACGGCCUCUACUCCUUCCAGGGCGUGGCGUCGUCCGUGCUCUCGNNNNNNN